GAUGAACGCUAGCGGCAGGCCUAACACAUGCAAGUCGAGGGGUAACAGGGAUUGCUUGCAAUCCGCUGACGACCGGCGCACGGGUGCGUAACGCGUAUACAAUCUACCUUGUACUGGGGGAUAGCCUUUGGAAACGAAGAUUAAUACCCCAUGGUAUGUUUUUUGUGGCAUCACAGGGACAUUAAAGGUUACGGUACAAGAUGAGUAUGCGUCCUAUUAGUUAGUUGGUAAGGUAACGGCUUACCAAGACUACGAUAGGUAGGGGCCCUGAGAGGGGGAUCCCCCACACUGGUACUGAGACACGGACCAGACUCCUACGGGGAGGCAGCAGUGAGGAAUAUUGGACAAUGGGGGCAACCCUGAUCCAGCCAUGCCGCGUGCAGGAAGACUGCCCUAUGGGUUGUAAACUGCUUUUAUACAGGAAGAAACGCUCCCACGUGUGGGGGUUUGACGGUACUGGAAGAAUAAGGAUCGGGCUAACUCCGUGCCAGCCGCCGCGGUAAUU
rnacentral:rRNA from 1 species